rnacentral:lncRNA from 1 species
CGGAAGUUGUUGCACGACUUCAGCCAUGGCCCGCCCCCCUCGGCGACCUUGAGCCUCCACAUGAUCGUUGGGCGCAGCGAAUUGGAGAGAGGUGGAGAAACAGGUGAUACGUAGUACCUACGCGUGAGUGCAGCUUACAGGAAAGCUCCUCUUAUAUAGUAGGCAGAGGAAGCAGAGAGCAUGUUGUUGUGGGAACGCAUAGAACCGUAAUUAUUGACCCCAUCUAUCAUUCAUGGUGAGAAAAUGAAAGAUGAAGGCCAAUGUCUCUCUCAUUCCAGGUUUGUAUAUCUCGAUUACUGUCAAUAUAUAUAUAUAUAUAUAUAUAUAUAUAUAUAGCACUUCUGAAAAUGCUUGUCCCGAGAAAGAGACUAAAUAUUCUAAUACGGGAAAGGGGACUUUCAGUAUCAAAACAAACGUAGGCUAGAAAUGGAAUCAAGUACUAACAAAUUAAGCACUACAUUUUUGUAGGAGAUUUGCUGCCGUACCACCAAAUAACUUUAAGUCAUUAAUUUAAUUAGAUCAGAUGGUUCUAGGAGGUAAUAGGUGAAAAGUAAGUUUUAGAUAUAAAGAUCUUUUCUAAUCUAAUUAAUAAUACAAACAUUAUCUAUUAGAUCUUAUGGUGAAUUUUUAUUUUUGCAAUUUUGAGUGUACAUAACUUAACUAGAAUAAACUAACAAUUUUUUUAUGUACUUGUAUCUCAGGCACGUAACCAAAUUUGCGUAUAUGCGUGCCUGACAUACAUGCAUACAUGUAAAUUAUGUGUAUAUGAAACUUUACAAUAGCUACAUAUUUUAUUAGAAGGUCUUCUCAAUUAUGUAAUAUAUUUUAGUUGAGUUAGUAUAUGACAUAUAUUUUUUUAGCGGUAAUGAUAUGACCCAGACGUCUGGACGGCUCAUUCUUGGCUUUUACAUAGAUUGGGUCCAACAGACAACCCACUUCCCCACUCGCUAUCUUGCCCCACUCACGGCCGCUUUAAUCUCGGCCCGCAACGGUUGCCCUGCCUACUCAGCUCCACAACACGCCACUAUCGCUUCUCAAUCGCAUGUGCCCACCACUCUCCAUCUCGUGCAUGCUUACCGGCUCCCUCUAUGGCUAGCGGCGACCCGCUCCUCUCCAACGUGUGUGCCACCGAGUUCCUUCCCGGCUGGCAGCACCCCGUCCUUGUUCCCCACCGUAGCAUCCUCCUCCCCUGUCCCGGCAGCUCCUUCACUACACCAGCGGCUCUGUCACCCACCCCAUGUCCUUCCCCUCCCACCACGGCGGUUCCUUCCCACCAUGGCGCCCCCCCCCCCCCCACACACACACCAGUGUCCUCCCCCACCGGGAGCCCCUAAUGCUCGCAAAUCUAGCGGCCAUGGCACUCAUUCGCGAGGAUAUCUCUCUCCACCCUAUAUUGCAAUUGUAUGUCUCACAAGGUUCAAAGGUAUGUUGCGAUUGAAUCAUAUGGAUGUUGCAAAACUAAAACGGGGAUGUUGCACAUGUUGCAAUUUUUAGAGGCAUGUUGCAAUCGUAUGUUUCGAGUGUUGCAGAUGUUGUAUGUGUUUUAUUCGAAUGUUUGUGUAUGGUUGCAAUGGUUUUCAAGUGUGUUUCAGGGUGUUUUUCAAUUAUUCUAGAAGUAUGUUUCAAGUGUUUCAACUGCCUUUAGAUGUAUGUUGCAACUAUUGUCUUGAAAUGUUUCAAAAGUAGUUUGGAUAUUGCCUCUCUCCUCCCACCUUCUCUUGCAUCACACGGUUGGGAGCAGAGGCAUGGGCGUGUGGUGAUAUGGGCGUCGUGGGCGUGCUCUCAUGUUUGAGCGGGUGCAGAGGAUACGAUUUUUUGAGUGUUUGAUUCGACACAUCAAUACAUGAGAGGAGCGGACGGUUUCGUCGAAUAGAAGCGUGAGAACCCCCACGUGAAGUAGGUGUGCGGGCAAGCACGCAAUCAGAUGUAGUUGGCCUGAGUGUCCGGACGCUAGCGCCCGGAUCGGACGUCUGGGCGCUAGCAGUUUCGAUUUUUUAGUGGAGUAUGUAACAUGACCGUUGUAUAAUUUUAACAUAACUUAGAGCAUCUUCAAGAGUCUUUGCAAAUCUCACUCUCUAAAUCAUCAUUUAGAGAACUAUUUUUGUAAAAAUCACUUUCUAUUUUUUUACUCCCCAGCAGCUUUUCUAUCUCUCCCGUGCACACUUUAGAGAGCCAUUCUCAUUUUCUAUUUUUGGCUAGUGACAAGCCUGAAUUAGAAUAUGAUUAUAUUCGUAUAACCAUUUAGACAAGUUAUUGGAGGGUAAUUUUUUUUACCAAAAUCUCUAUUCAUAAGAUUUAGGAAGAAUUUAGAGUCUCUCCGAGUUGCUCUUAGUAUCAUAUAAAAAAUUUAAUCACUUUUAAGGAAAAAUAUUAUGCAAAAAGAAGAAUAGGACUAUUGGCCUAGAUGUCACUUUUUAUUUUAGCCAUGCAAAUGGGAAAACGAAGGAUGCGGCGACAGUCACGAGAGGAAGGGGUUGCAUGCCCACCCACAUCUCCAGUGAUCGGAGCAAUCUGAGGAUUAUUUUCUUUAGAUUAAUUAAUUAAAUUAAAUUUUAUAAAAUCAAGGCCUCAUGUUUAUUUAAGAUACUAACUUUUAAUAAAUAAUGGGGUACUGUAGCAUUAUUCUUUUUACAGAUGGCCAAAUGGGAAGACCCUAGCCCAGCAUGAAACGAUGCCCAUAUAUAGUGCCCACUCGCACUAGCACGGGCAUAAGGCUGUGCCUAGGCUAUGGCUUCCACACGCACUACGCACUGUCACGAUCACUACAGGGCUAAUGAGCUGGUACGCUGUGUGGCCAGAUCUUUCCUAGGUGUUGGAUUGGAUGGUCUUAGGGAAUCUAGAAUCGUUGGAUAUAAUUAAAAAGAAGAGUACACAAAUAUCUAAAACCCUAGCUCCCAAAUACCAAUUUCUUAUCCUGCCAUCUCUUACCAAAAAAUACGUGUGCAUACUUUAGCGACGUGCUCCCUCUUUGCACUGAGUCACGAUGGCCACAACUCCCAUGCCUGCUCCCUCUCGCGCGACGGUCUCAGCCAAUGGCCAUGAAGGUGAGCUCCAUCUUACGUGGCGGCACAAUGGCCUCCAUGGAGCUAGGCUCCCUCGUGCAGUGACGUGACACCUCAGCCCAGAGAGAGCUAGGUGGAGGUACGUAGUGUCGCAUGCUCGACGAGGGAGAUGGUGCUCCGUCUCGGCAAUGUGGUGGCGGCGAGGCGAGCUCCACACAUGGUGUUGCAGUAGCCUUAGCGCGCGACAAUGACACGUGCUGGCAUGGGCCUAGUGGGCCAUCGUGCCCAUCGACAUGGUACGACACAUAUAAGUUCUUGUAGGGUUGUCCCUGGGCCAAGGGUUGGGCAUGUCCGGCCCAACACGGCAUGACAUGGCUAGGGCGUAGUGCCGAAUAGUGUCAUACAGAAUAAUGGCAAGACCAGGCCACGGGCAAAGCAUGUUUUUUCCCUUAACGAAACCAGCGAAAAGUUAUCUCUUUCUAAAUGUCGUUCGUCUAAAAUCAAGGCUAAUAAUAUAACCUUCCGCGGGCUUUAUCAACACUUACAAGCCACUUAUAUCAGUUGUUGAUUCAACAAUAACUCACCCUUUUCUCUCACAAUAUCUCUUAAUUCUUGAGCUAGCUGUAAAUCUUUUCUCUCCUCCACCUUAGCAUAUAGCCAUUUAUAUGCAUGUGGUUAUAAUUGCUCUAGUUCAGUCACUAGCCCCCACACUACAGGACCAACGACACUACGUACGAGAUCACAACUCUCACUCACUUGGUCUCCCCGCACACAAAGACCGCCGAAGGCCAUCCCACCCUUCUUUAUCAAUGAAAAUAGAUGGAAACCGAAGGUGUUUCAAUAUUUUUAGUGGAACCGGGCAUGUGUACCUAAACAAACCAAUACAAUCACAUAUUCAAUGGAAACGGUCGGAAGGCAGGUACUUAAGCCGGAAUACCGCACAAAAUUAUAUACUCACAAAUGACAAAAUAGGUGCACCAUGAAAAUAUAUUUUCUUGCAAAUUUACCGUACUUAUUUAGUGUAUCAUAAAUAUUAUUUUUAUAAAUUUAGUCACAUUACACACACUACUGGAAACUCGUUCUUUGCCGAGGGCCUGAGGCUUUGCCGAGGGCCAAAUCUCGGGCACUCGGCAAAGACCUUCUUUGCCGAGGGCCGCUAACCGUGGAUAGAGACUCAAUAUACACCAAAUAAUAUGAAUAAUAUUUUUCAAAACACUAUAUUGCAUUACUCCAUACACCUGCAAUUUAAAUUUAAAAUAUUCAAAAAAAUCAACAAAACAAAAUAAAUUAAGAAAAUAUAUAAAAAAGAUCAAAAUUGUCCGAAACUUUAAAAUUAAGUUUCAAAUAAUGUAUUUUACCACCACAAAAAAACUAGACUCAAAAAAUAAAAAAAAACAAAAAUUAUUUGCCGAGGGCUUAGCCUGGCUUUCGGCAAAUGGGCUCUUUGCCGAAGGCCUGACCAGUGGCCCUCGGCAAAUUCUUUUUGCCAAGGGCUCUGAACCUGGGCCCUCGGCAAAGUGCCGAACCCUAAAUCCUAAUCGGGCCGGCCCAAGAAAAACACGCGCAGCCUGUUCCUUCUCUCCCCCCGCACGCCCAGCCGCCACUCCCCCACCACCGCUCGCAGCGCCCAGCCGCCCGCGCGCGCCCAGCUCCCCCGCCGCUGCUCGCCGCGCCUGCAAGCCGCCGCCGCCACGCGCUGAAGGGUCGAGAUGGCGGACUAGAGGGGGGUGAAUAGUCCUUUCUAAAACUUAUCGCGUCGGAUAACCGAAACAAAUGCGGAAUUAAAACUAUCGGCAUAGCCAAGACUACACCCCUCUAUCUAAGUUCUCUAUCACCUUGAAAAGAUCCUAAACAAGCAAACAAGGUGCUACCUUAGCAAGAGCUCACCUAAACAAUUCUAGGAACAAGGUCACACAAAUCUAUGCAACUAGUACUUUGCAAACCGGGAGAGCUCCUACACAAACUAGUGAGGCAAAGCGCACAAAGCCUAAGCUCACUAGCAAGCUCAAUAACAAGGCAACUAAUGCCAAAUUAGAGAGCACAACUUACUUAGCUACACAAACUAAGCAAAGUGACUAACAAGGUUACACAAACCAAAUUAGUCACGCGAGGGAACUACUUCUAGCUACACAAGCAAGAAGGUAACUAGCAAGCUACACAAGCUAACUAAUUACAAGAGCAACUACACAAGCACAAAUAUAUGAAUGUAAGCACAAGCUUGUGUUAGGGACUUGCAAACCAACGGGAAGAACAAUGUUGACACGAUGAUUUUCUCUCGAGGUUCACUUGGUUGCCACCAAGCUACGUCUCCGUUGAGACAAGCUCCAAGGUUGUCGCCGGUCCUCUUGCUAGUGGUGACCCGCAAGUCACACUCUCCCACGUGGAGUGCUUACCACAAGCUCUAGCACUUGACCCGGCCGGACCACUUGUCGCUCUUCACGUCUCGCUCAACUAGAGUUGCUCUUCGCGAUCCCCGCGGGGUGAGCACCGUACCCCUCACAAUCUCUUCUCCGGAGCACCGCACAAUCUCCUUGCGUGCUUCGACGGAGUCACAAGCCACCAAGCCGUCUAGGAGGUGGCAACCUCCAAGAGUAACAAGCACCACCGGCUUGCAACACGAACACCUAGUGCCACUCGAUGCAAUCUCUCAAUGCAACUCACUAGAAUCGCUCACUCACACAAUCGGAUGAUCACUAUCAAGCAUAUGUGAGUUAGAGGCUUUACUAGCACUCCCCAAGCAUGGACACUAAGUCCCAAGGGUGCUCAGCACUAGCCAAGGCCGGUCACAACUUCUAUUUAUAGCUCUAAGGGCUAAACUAGCCGUUGUCCCUUCACUGGGCAAAACACGAGGGCAUCGUUCGCUCAUAGGGAGCCACCGGACGCUCAACCCCCAGCGUCCGGUGCUCAGCUGACCGCCACGUGUCACUAGCCGUUUGAAGUCGACCGUUGCCGCCAACGGCUACCACGCGCUCGCGCCUGACACAGCACCACCGGACGCUCAACUAGUCCACACCGGAUGCAUCCGGUGCACAUCGGACCCGUGCGCAGAGAGUUUUGCAAACUCGCAGGGUCACCGGACGCAAGCCACCGGACGCACCCUGAGCGUCCGGUGCUCACCGGACUCAUGCGCAGAGAGGGUCGCCAAACCGCCCGCACACCGAACGCUGAGCACUGGACUCUCUCCGGUGCGUCCGGUGCACUCUGCUGCACCCGACAGCACACCGGACGCUAAAGGCCAGCGUCCGGUGCCUCCGCACAGAGCGUCCGGUGAGUUUUUUCUCACUGAGAAACACUCCCGCGACUUCUCCAAACUUCCCACUGGCGCAAUAGAAAAUAUGCACUUAAUUUUCUCAAAAGCGCCGAAUCCCGCCGACCAUGUGCAAGUGUGUUAGCAUUUUCACAAACAAUUUCCCAAAGGAGUUAGCCUCUCAACUUGCCACGCCACUCGAUACUAACACGUAUGCAAAGUUAGAUCGCUCAAGUGGCACUAGAUGACCGAUAUGCAAACAAGUUUGCCCCUCUUGAUAGUACGGCCAUCUAUCCUAAAUCCGGUCAUAAACUUCUCUACACACCUAUGACCGGUGAAAUAAAAAUGCCCUAGGUUAUACCUUUGCCUUGCGCUUUCCAUUCCAUCUCCUCCAAUGUUGAUGCAACACAUGCACCAACCAAUCACCAAAUGAUAUGAUCCACUUCAUAUCAUCAUGUGACCAUAUUGGUUCAUCAAUCUUGACCUCACUUGCUCUUCACCGUUGCCUCGGUCCAUCGGCGCCAAGUCUUGCUCAAGCUUCACCGUCACACGCGGUCCCUCGCUUCAAAGCCUCUGACUUGCCCUUCACUCUUGCAACCGGUCCAUCAAGCCAAGCCUCAUCUUGAUCUUCUCCACCUUGGUCACAUGACUCCAUGUCAUGUCUCAUAUGCAAUGAGCUCCUCCAUCAUCACAUAAUCACCUGUGGACUAAUCUCCUGUGUAUCUCAUAUAAACACUAUUAGUCCACUAAAUUGUCACUCAAUUACCAAAACCAAAUAAGGACCUUUCACGCGCCCCGCCCUAUCCGGCCAGCAGUGCCCUCCAUGGCCACCGUGCCGAUGCACCUUUCUUCCCAACGCGAGCUCUCCCUCCCUCCCUUCUCCGGUGCUGAGGUCACCCCUUCCUAACGCGAGCUCUCCCUCCCUCCCUCCCUCCGGCGCUGAGAUCACGCUGUUCCCUGGAUGGGCCACGUCGGCGUGGGUCAGGCAGUGCACAAGCUCAGCCGCUGCCUGAUGGGGUGGCUGCCCUUCUUCUCCCUCGGCCAGAUCGACGAUGGAGUGGCUGCUCUUCUUCUCCCCUGACCGGAUCUACAACAGAAUGGCAAGCUGACGACGUGCCGCGCUCUUCGCCCACUCCCAGGUCUGUUCAUCCCCUUCCCUAGACUGUCCGUGCACAUGUGUGCUUGAGCGGGGUAGAAGCUGAGACUGAGACUGAAAUUGGCCACACCCCGCUGCCUGGCUGUUGCUGCAGGGGCUACGCAGGGAGCACAUAGACUAUGAGGGCUACUCUUUGCUACUGGAUCCAUCAUCGAGUUGUUUGAGGUCCCAUGAUUCAUGGAUCUAGAGGAAGACAAAACCAACGCCAUGGCUUUUGAUUUCAUCUCCCAUCUGGAUUCCAUGCCUCUGCCUUCCAAUCCUUCUGGUUUUUUGAUUAGUCAAUGUUGCCAUGGAUUGUGCUGAGUCUUGUCAAUUUAUUUCAUUUUUCAUUCUAAAUUUCUAGUUGAUUCUCCUGUUGGGCUACUACUAUUACCAGAGCUGAAAGCACAUUUAGGACACAUGAACAAAUAGAACAGUUGUAAGAAAAAGUACAGUUUGACAGAGUAAGUUUCUCCUUUAAACACAGUUUGAAUGUGAUACUAAGUACAUGAUGGAAAUAUCAGAUUUCUAACCUUAAGCUCUUUGUUCUUUCAGGGUUACAGAUUCCUUUAAACAUUGUUUUAUUAAAAUAAAUUUUAGAGGAAUGGUUUGCUUCAGUUAACAUACAAUUCACAUCUUUGAUUCCUUUAAACAUUGUAUCCCUUUUUUGUGGAUAUUAAAUUAUGGAAUGGUAAGAUGUGCUCAACUAACUACUAGGUAUAAUAUUAAAUUAUUUUUGUAGUCAACAGUCAAUAGGCAACACAUAGAGCACACUAGUCUGUGAUUGUAGUCAACAAAGAUGGUACUGGUGAACCCAGCCAGGCACACUGGGAUUCUAGGAAUUUGCCAAUAUGAGAUGAUCCAAAUGAUUUAAGCUACUGAUUCUAUCAUUUUUUCUGAAAUUUUUGGAUGCUGCUACCAGCCUGUGAACAGCAAGCCAAUCAUAGUACUAAUGAUUGUGCAACCAACUGAUUCAUUGGUCAUGACCUGAUGGCUAUAUGGUUGAGGAUUUGGAGCUCCUUUUAUGGAAGUAGAAGGAAUGCUAGCAGUUUGUACUUCUAAUGUUUUUCAGUGCCUUUGAGGCUGACCUUGCAGAUGCCAUUCCUGUGGUCAAGACAUCUAUUGGUGGCACCAGAAUAAUAGGUCGACUCUGUGUUGGUGUAAGUUAUUUUCCAGCUAGUUUUGUUGGUUCAUCAUAUUGGUAGGAUGGAUCUAGCUACAGUAGUGGAAUUCUGAAUUUUAUUUGUAAAGGGUGUGUUUCCUGAACUACAUAUGAAUGAACAAUCUUAAAAGUUUAUUUUCUGUAACAAAUGUGGUAGGCCUACAUAGUUUACUUCUACUCUUUGUAUAUUUGGAUGAUGACAAUGACUUAUGUGUUGUGAUGUGGUCAGAUUUGAUAUUUAUAUAUAUGUUGUGUUGUGGUUAGACUGCCCUCGGCAAAGACACCUUUGCCGUCUAAAAAUCCCCCGAGAGCCCUUUGCCGAGGGCCGCCCUCGGCAAAGAGGGCGCGUCCAGUAGUGACAUAUAUAAAAAAAAUGUUUGGCUCAUUAUUACAUUAGAUUUGUAUUCUUUAUAAUUUGACCUGUGUUACUGUGUAUUAGAUUAGAAUUGUAUUCGGAACAACAUGGAAUAAAUAUAUGUUCGUAACUAAUUGAUCCAAAACGUAUAUUGAAGUAUUGAACUAUCAUUUCCUAAAAAAGGUACUUUCAAACUAGCUGGUCCAGAUGGACUGCAGUGUUGGGUUUCAUUAGAUGGGAAGUGUUUAGCCUUCGGGACAAGAUGUUAAGAUGUGGCCUAGGUUGAAACCGGUAACAAAUUUGGUAAAAUUAUAACCAAAUAUGGUAUUCUGAAAAACACCGUACCAAUCCCGUUCCGUCCCGACUCGAGACCUUCCGUCCCACGAUCUGUCUCGUUUCCAGAUUUUUCGACAAUACGAAAAUGGUUAGGUUAAAUAUAGAAAAAGAGAUGGACCGAGAUGAGAAAAAUUACAUCCGUUGAUUGCUCGAGAAUAAACACUCCAUCGCCCUUCUCUUCCCACUUUAGGGCUCGUUCGUUUAGCUUCUGUUCCUGGUGGAUUCAUUCCAGAUGAUCAAAAAUAGUAUAAAUUUACACAAUGUUCCUGACUGGAAUCAUUCCAGGCCUCCAUUCCAGGAGAAACGAACGGGGCCUUAGCGAUCCUUUGAUUGCUGCUUUCACGAUUAGAGUGGUACACUAGGGCCAGGGGAGGAGGAGGAACGAGCUUUGUAUCUCUCUUUCUCGUGCAUGGCUAUCCUGCCCAUGAUCCGGAAGGGAGGCAGAGGCAGGACAAAUUAAUACCGAGACGUGGUAGCUGCUGGAUCACGGAUGGAGCAUGGAGAGGUUCAGAGUUCGCCCAUCCCAUGACUGCCCCUGCCGCGGUGUGUCGUGUGGCCACGCGGCGGCACCCCCAACUAGCCUGUUCGCUUGGCUGAAAGAACUGUUUGUUAAUUUGUUAUAAAAAAAAACACUGUUGGAUGCCUGGCAGAUUCGACAGCUCAAACAAACAAGCUCUAGCAAGGUGGCCACUUGCCCGCCAAGGCAGCUCGAUAUCACCCACACCGCCAGCGACACCUCUCACGUGCCGUGUGCCUGCCCCGACGCUCCCUCGCACGCUCCUUUCAUGCGCUCGCUGCCUAUACACGAGCGCGAAGAGAGAUACUGUAUAGACAAGGGGCAGAACAGGAUGAACUGGUAUCGUUAUCGGAUUUGCGUGAAUUGAAUCUGGAUAGCACUGCUGUCCAUAUUUUAAUUCGAAUCAAUUCGGACACGGAUAUUAUUGAUACGAAUAUAAAGCGGAUAUCUCAAAUUCAAAUUCGACUCAUAUUCAGAUAUCUACUUUAUUUUGAAGAUAACAGGUAUAUUUGCUCCUCAAUAAUUUUGUUGUAGAGGAAAAUCAAAUGUAUGGGAGGAUGGUAUUGGGGUGACUAAUAUUAUAUUUUGAACUACCUGGGAAGUGACACAACAGGUCACCAACAUUCUUCCCAAAAUAUAGGACCCAUCCAUCAACAACAAUUUACUAUUUAUUUACUUAUUUCCUUUUUUGGUUCAUCUAUUCUCCCCUGAAUUGAGACCACAUCGACGCCACCUGCCACUCUCCACUGCAGCGCAGCGCGAGUCUGGACCGUGGCCUCCUUGAGCACGAGCCCGGACGGGGAGUUCAGCCUCACAGGCUCGCCGGCUUCGGGGACUGCAGAUGCUCUGUACAGGGGCUUGCCGGCACCAGAACUGCCGCUGGGAAACCGAUGACACCGAGGAGGUCUCGUGGCUGGCUUCAGGCGUCGCUGCAGACCUCGCCAGACUCGGACUAUAUGACAGCGGACGAUGGUAGGAUUGGAGGACCGGAAAUGCUCUUAGCACAAGCAGCGACGGAAAACCAUGUGUAAUAGUUUCUUCUUGGUCGUGUACCGUUUUGGCUAAAGUUGGUGUCUCGUCCGCGGACCAAACGACGUUUGUAAACAAAAAAAUUCUAUAGGCUCCUCUCUUAAUGAAACACAGACUAAGCGUGUUCUCGGAAAAAAAAAACUCGUGUUCAUCUGAUAAGCAAUGUAGAAAGUACUGUUGAUUGAUUUAUUAGGGCUAACAAAGCUCAAGCGAACAAUUAAAACGUGGUCGGUCUCUAUCGCAGUGGCUGUAGAACAGCCUGCCGACCAACCCAUGCCAUCUUUGCUAGUACAUCCUAAAGCACCUACAACAUGCACGAGUUGUAUGGACCCAUACAAGCAUGCUGCAUAGGCGAGUAUUUUUGGAAAAGCCUAGCAAGGCCUUGUUUAGUUUGCAAAAAUUUUCAAGAUUUUUCGUCACAUCGAAUCUUUGGUCACAUGCAUAGAGCAUUAAAUAUAUACGAAAAUAAAAAUUAAUUGCGCAGUUUACCUAUAUAAUUUUGUGAGAUGAAUCUAGUUACUUCGUGAUUGGACAAUGUUUGUCAAAUAAAAAAGUUUUUGCGAACUAAACAAGGCCCAAGCGUCACUUAUUGUUAACUGUAGAAGAGCAGGAUAAGCUGUUACCUGCAUGCGCAAGAGGAGGUCAGAGGACUCCCUCUUCUGGAAGCGGCGCUCCGUGAACUCCCGGCGCACCCUCUCCACCUCGGCGCGCUCCUCUGGCGUGCCGAGCUCCGGGUCGAACUCCCACACCGCCCGCCCGCGGAAGUUGUUGCACGACUUCAGCCAUGGCCCGCCCCCCUCGGCGACCUUGAGCCUCCACAUGAUCGUUGGGCGCAGCGAAUUGGAGAGAGGUUGCCAAACUGAAUGACCCACGCGUAGCUGAGAGCAGACGAGCCUCCUCCUAUAUAGGAGUAGCUGGCAGAGAUUUUUUUUUUCUUUUGACUGAUUGUACGCUUAUUAAAUGCAGCGAAUCUAGAGCUUGCCGCGACGGGGACGCUUUAGCGGCUACCAGUUUUUUU